UACGUAGGGUGCGAACGUUGUCCGGAAUUAUUGGGCGUAAAGAGCUCGUAGGCGGUUUGUCACGUCUGCUGUGAAAUCCCGAGGCUCAACCUCGGGCCUGCAGUGGGUACGGGCAGACUGGAGUGCGGUAGGGGAGAAUGGAAUUCCUGGUGUAGCGGUGGAAUGCACAGAUAUCAGGAGGAACACCGAUGGCGAAGGCAGUUCUCUGGGCCGUAACUGACGCUGAGGAGCGAAAGCGUGGGGAGCGAACAGG
rnacentral:rRNA from 1 species